CCUUCGGGUGGCAGCAGUGGGGAAUAUUGCACAAUGGGCGCAAGCCUGAUGCAGCCAUGCCGCGUGUGUGAAGAAGGCCUUCGGGUUGUAAAGCACUUUCAGCGGGGAGGAAGGCGUUAAGGUUAAUAACCUUGUCGAUUGACGUUACCCGCAGAAGAAGCACCGGCUAACUCCGUGCCAGCAGCCGCGGUAAUACGGAGGGUGCAAGCGUUAAUCGGAAUUACUGGGCGUAAAGCGCACGCAGGCGGUCUGUCAAGUCGGAUGUGAAAUCCCCGGGCUCAACCUGGGAACUGCAUUCGAAACUGGCAGGCUAGAGGCUUGUAGAGGGGGGUAGAAUUCCAGGGGUAGCGGUGAAAUGCGUAGAGAUCUGGAGGAAUACCGGUGGCGAAGGCGGCCCCCUGGACAAAGACUGACGCUCAGGUGCGAAAGCGUGGGGAGCAAACAGGAUUAGAUACCCGUGUAGUC
rnacentral:rRNA from 1 species